rnacentral:rRNA from 1 species
UCUGGCGGCAAUAGCGCGGUGGUCCCACCUGACCCCAUGCCGAACUCAGCAGUGAAACGCCGUAGCGCCGAUGGUAGUGUGGGGUCUCCCCAUGUGAGAGUAGGAUACUGCCAGAC